AGAAUUGUAGCAGGUUUAGUGCUCCAUGAGAAUUGACUGACCAGCUAAGGGAGCCCUUAGACAAAGUAAAUUCUAGGGUCCAUCUCAAGACAGUGCUAACUCAUCGCUGCCCAUGCUAAAGUUGUCUUUUUGUUUUUCCUAGAAGUUUCAGGCACCUGCAAGAGAGACCUGCGUGGAAUGUCAGAAGACAGUCUAUCCAAUGGAGCGUCUCUUGGCCAACCAGCAGGUGUUUCACAUCAGCUGCUUCCGUUGCUCCUAUUGCAACAACAAACUCAGUCUAGGAACAUAUGCAUCUUUACAUGGAAGAAUCUAUUGUAAGCCUCACUUCAAUCAACUCUUUAAAUCUAAGGGCAACUAUGAUGAAGGCUUUGGGCACAGACCACACAAGGAUCUAUGGGCAAGCAAAAAUGAAAACGAAGAGAUUUUGGAGAGACCAGCCCAGCUUGCAAAUGCAAGGGAGACCCCUCACAGCCCAGGGGUAGAAGAUGCCCCUAUUGCUAAGGUGGGUGUCCUGGCUGCAAGUAUGGAAGCCAAGGCCUCCUCUCAGCAGGAGAAGGAAGACAAGCCAGCUGAAACCAAGAAGCUGAGGAUCGCCUGGCCACCCCCCACUGAACUUGGAAGUUCAGGAAGUGCCUUGGAGGAAGGGAU
rnacentral:sRNA from 1 species